AUACUUACCUGGACGGGGUCUAUGGGCGAUCAAGGAGGCUCAUGGCCUAGAUCAAUGGCUUGCAUUGCACUUGGCAGGCGUGUUGGUCUACCAUCUCCCCAAGCGGAAGAGUGGACGUCAUAAUUUGUGGAAGAGGGGUACGCGUUCGCGCGGCCUCUAC